UCUCUACCCCUUGUCCUGUCUCCUUUCCGGCAUCCUGGCCUCUAGUGGUCUUUGGUUCCUCACUCCAGUACUGCAGAUCUCACGGUCUUCCUGUCUCAUAGCCAACCUAUCUCUGACCCGUAGUUUGGGGGUUCUGGGGUUGUCUCUCACUUUUGACCUGUAAUCACAAGCCCCUUUCAGGCCCUCUUACCCCUAAUUCUGGGGAUGGCUAUUAUGAGACCACCCUUCUGGCUCUCCCACGACAAAGUUCUUUUGUCUGUCAGGGACCACACAGACAGACAACAUGCCCUGGCCCCUGUCUGCAACCGCCACACACAUGGGCACUACCAGGAGUACCGAGGAGACCCAUAGGGCGCAGGGCACCUCUGAUGAGCCAUCCAGCCAAAGAGCUGCCUUCAGGGGCAUGAGGGUGGCCAAGCUAUUAGACUUCCAAGGGGCCAUUCA
rnacentral:lncRNA from 1 species